AAAACUUUCAACAACGGAUCUCUUGGCUCUGGCAUCGAUGAAGAACGCAGCGAAAUGCGAUAAGUAAUGUGAAUUGCAGAAUUCAGUGAAUCAUCGAAUCUUUGAACGCACAUUGCGCCCGCCAGUAUUCUGGCGGGCAUGCCUGUUCGAGCGUCAUUACAACCCUCAGGCCCCCGGGCCUGGCGUUGGGGAUCGGCGGAAGCCCCCUGCGGGCACAACGCCGUCCCCCAAAUACAGUGGCGGUCCCGCCGCAGCUUCCAUUGCGUAGUAGCUAACACCUCGCAACUGGAGAGCGGCGCGGCCACGCCGUAAAACACCCAACUUCUGAAUGUUGACCUCGAAUCAGGUAGGAAUACCCGCUGAACUUAAGCAUAUCAAUAAGCGGAGGAAAAGAAACCAACAGGGAUUGCCCCAGUAACGGCGAGUGAAGCGGCAACAGCUCAAAUUUGAAAUCUGGCUCUCGGGCCCGAGUUGUAAUUUGUAGAGGAUGCUUUUGGUGAGGUGCCUUCCGAGUUCCCUGGAACGGGACGCCAUAGAGGGUGAGAGCCCCGUCUGGUUGGACACCGAUCCUCUGUAAAGCUCCUUCGACGAGUCGAGUAGUUUGGGAAUGCUGCUCUAAAUGGGAGGUAUAUGUCUUCUAAAGCUAAAUACCGGCCAGAGACCGAUAGCGCACAAGUAGAGUGAUCGAAAGAUGAAAAGCACUUUGAAAAGAGGGUUAAAAAGUACGUGAAAUUGUUGAAGGGGAAGCAUUCAUGACCAGACUUGGGCUUGGUUGAACAUCCGGCGUUCUCGCCGGUGCACUCUGCCAGUCCAGGCCAGCAUCAGUUUGCCCCGGGGGACAAAGGCGGCGGGAAUGUGGCUCUCUACGGGGAGUGUUAUAGCCCGUCGUGUAAUGCCCUGGGGCGGACUGAGGAACGCGCUUCGGCACGGAUGCUGGCGUAAUGGUCAUCAAUGACCCGUCUUGAAACACGGACC
rnacentral:rRNA from 1 species